GAUAAACGCUAGCGGCAGGCUUAACACAUGCAAGUCGAGGGGCAGCAUAAAUAGUAGCAAUACUAUUGGUGGCGACCGGCGGACGGGUGCGUAACGCGUAUACAACCUUCCCUAAACAGGGGGAUAAUCUGGAGAAAUUCGGUCUAAUACCCCAUAACAUCAGAGCAGGCAUCUGUUUUGGUUAAAAUUUCCGGAGGUUUAGGAUGGGUAUGCGUAGCAUUAGCUAGUUGGUGAGGUAACGGCUGACCAAGGCGACGAUGCUUAGGGGGACUGAGAGGUUAACCCCCCACACUGGUACUGAGACACGGACCAGACUCCUACGGGAGGCAGCAGUGAGGAAUAUUGGUCAAUGGGCGGAAGCCUGAACCAGCCAUGCCGCGUGCAGGAUGACGGCUCUAUGGGUUGUAAACUGCUUUUGUACGAGGGUAAAGUGGGCUACGUGUAGCCUUUUGAAAGUAUCGUACGAAUAAGGAUCGGCUAACUCCGUGCCAGCCGCCGCAGUAA
rnacentral:rRNA from 1 species